CUGCCUCUGCCCAACACUCCAGUUGUCUCCAUUAUCAACAACUGGUGAGUCAAGCUUUUCGGGUUUUGAAGACACCACUUCUUUCAGUUGGCAGCGAUCGAGGCUCUUCCAAAUUUCAUCAUCUGAAUAUUGUCCAAUGGGGUCAAUGUUGCUUCUCACAGUUCCUUCAAAAAGAACUGGUUCUUGAGGAAUGAUCCCAAAGCGAGAUCUAAGAUCAUGAAGCCCGAGCCUGGAUAUGUCAAUGCCGUCAAUGACUAUUCUUCCAGCUGCAGGCUCCACCAAACGGAAGAAAACUUGAAUAAGUGUUGAUUUUCCACCUCCAGUACGACCAACAACACCGAUCUUCUCUCCCCCUCUAAUGUUGAGAGUAAUUCCUUUAAGCACUAGAGGAG
rnacentral:misc_RNA from 1 species